AGAAUCAACGCUGGCGGCGUGCCUAACACAUGCAAGUCGAACGAGAAAGUGGAGCAAUCCACGAGUAAAGUGGCGCACGGGUGAGUAACACGUGACUAACCUACCCUUGAGUGGGGGAUAACCUAGGGAAACCUGGGCUAAUACCGCAUAAUACCUUCGGGUCAAAGGAGCAAUUCGCUUAAGGAGGGGUCGCGGCCGAUUAGUUAGUUGGCGGGGUAAUGGCCCACCAAGACUGUGAUCAGUAU
rnacentral:rRNA from 1 species